rfam:Chloroflexi bacterium RBG_13_46_9 RBG_13_scaffold_9029, whole genome shotgun sequence.
GAAGCCUUUAAGCCGGUCCCGUGAGGCUGGCAAGGGAAAAAACAAAUAAAUCCGCAUCGAUAACCCCUUGUCACCCACGGCAAGGGGUUUUUUUAU